rnacentral:tRNA from 1 species
UCUGAUAUACUUCAAUAGGUAGAAGGGCACUCUCAUAAGGUGUAUGCUAUAGGUUCGAGUCCUAUUAUCAGAA